rnacentral:rRNA from 1 species
AGGUCAAAUCAUCAUGCCUCUUACGUCUUGGGCUACAAACGUGCUACAAUGAUCACUACAAAGAGAUGCCAACCAGCAAUGGGAGCCAACCUCAAAAAAGUGGUCUCAGUUCGGAUUGUGGGCUGAAACUCGCCCAUAUGAAGAUGGAUUUGCUAGUAAUCCCGAAUCAGCAUGUCGGGGUGAAUGCGUUCCCGGGUCUU